rnacentral:misc_RNA from 1 species
UUUUUUAUUUUUUAUUUUUAAUUUAAAUUCUCUUUGUUAAUGCUAUUUGAUUUUGAAAUCUUGGCCAUCGAUGCAAUUUUUCAAGUGACCUUACCAUGAGGUCAAGUAUACUGAUCAAAUUAAAAUAGCAAAAAGAAUGGAGGAAGAAUAUUUCUUUAGUUAGAAAAGGUAAACUAAAGCUGGUGGAGUUGAAGAGGAUAGAGAAGAGAGCCUUGGAAAUCAUGAAUUUGAAUUUGAAUUUGGCAGUGAUGAUGGGGGAGACUAUGUUACUCUUGAUGAUGAGUAGUUAUCUUGUGGUUGUUGUGGGGAUUAUUGCCAUUUACUGGAAUGUACAAAUAUGAUUUAGGAACUUUUAACAUUUUCAAUCAAUUUUAUUUUGUUUAUGUUUCAAGAACAUUGGUGCUACUGUGCUAGAACUCCAAAUGUUUCAUGUUAUUAACAUUAAUAGUUGUCUUUAUUAAUUUUGUGCCUUGUGCCUUUAA